UUGCUUCAGUAGCACAUACACUAAAAUUGGAAUGUUACAGAGAAGAUUAGCAUCACCGCUGUGAAAGGAUAUCAUGCAAAUUUAUGAAGCGUUCCAUAUUUUU
ensembl:snRNA U6 U6 spliceosomal RNA